rnacentral:rRNA from 1 species
UUAAGCAUAUCACUAAGCGGAGGAAAAGAAACUAACAAGGAUUCCCUUAGUAACGGCGAGUGAACAGGGAAGAGCCCAGCACCGAAGCCUGCGGCCAUUUGGUCACUAGGCAAUGUGGUGUUUAGGUCGUCUCACAGUGAUGCCGCUCCACCCUAAGUCCAACACUGAGUGCGGUUGUAUGGACAUGGCCCAAGGAGGGUGAAAGGCCCGUGGGGGUGGAGGCCAGACAGGUUGGUGUCGCUAUAUGAGUAGACCUUGGAGUCGGGUUGUUUGUGAAUGCAGCCCAAAGUGGGUGGUAAACUCCAUCCAAGGCUAAAUACUGACACGAGUCCGAUAGCAAACAAGUACCGUGAGGGAAAGUUGAAAAGUACUUUGAAGAGAGAGUAAACAGUGCGUGAAACCGUUCAGAGGUAAACGGGUGGAGUUGAACUGCAAGCUCUGAGGAUUCAGCUGGUGAGUGUGGUUUGAGCUUGGGUAUACUGGUCGGCCAAUCGAGUUCGCUUAGUUGCGGGUCCCUGUCUUUGGCAGGGAUGCAUGGGCACUUGUCAAGUGCUACGCGCUCGGAGUGGUUCACCGGGCCAAUUCACCAGUGCACUUUCUCAGAGUAGUCACCACGACCGGCGCUGCUGUUGGUCUACUGGUGUCAAACCUGACGGUUGGGGUCCUUGUGGCACUAAUCGUUGGGGACGGCAGGUGGCUCGUUGGCUUGUCUUUCGAGUGUUAUCAGCUGGCAUCAGUGGUAUUGUGCAGUGCGUCGGAGACGGCGGCUUGUGGUGUUGGCAUGCGUGCAUGCAUUGCUGACGGUGCCGGGUUUGGUUGCCAUGUUGCCUGUAAAAGCAGGCCUGGUGAUAGCUCGGUGUUGUUUGGCAGGCAGUGGCGUGUGUUACACUAUCACGAGGGCCCAUAGUCUGUGGUGCAGUGGUAGACCAUCCACCCGACCCGUCUUGAAACACGGACCAAGGAGAGUAACAUGUGCGCAAGUCAUUGGGCGUUACGAAACCCAAAGGCGUAGUGAAAGUAAAUGUUCGGCUUGUCCGAACUGAGGUGAGAUCCUGACGUUUCUCACGCGUGGUAUCACCAAGCAUACGAGCGUCAGGCGCAUCACCGGCCCGUCCCAUGGCGUAGACCCGCUUCUCGGAGUGGUGCAUCGUCGGGGUGGAGCAUGAGCGUACAUGUUGAGACCCGAAAGAUGGUGAACUAUGCUUGCAAAGGUUGAAGCCAGAGGAAACUCUGGUGGAGGACCGCAGCGAUUCUGACGUGCAAAUCGAUCGUCAUAUGUGAGUAUAGGGGCGAAAGACUAAUCGAACCAUCUAGUAGCUGGUUCCCUCC